AUGCAAGUCGAGCGAACAGAUAAGGAGCUUGCUCCUUUGACGUUAGCGGCGGACGGGUGAGUAACACGUGGGUAACCUACCUAUAAGACUGGGAUAACUUCGGGAAACCGGAGCUAAUACCGGAUAACAUUUGGAACCGCAUGGUUCUAAAGUGAAAGAUGGUUUUGCUAUCACUUAUAGAUGGACCCGCGCCGUAUUAGCUAGUUGGUAAGGUAACGGCUUACCAAGGCGACGAUACGUAGCCGACCUGAGAGGGUGAUCGGCCACACUGGAACUGAGACACGGUCCAGACUCCUACGGGAGGCAGCAGUAGGGAAUCUUCCGCAAUGGGCGAAAGCCUGACGGAGCAACGCCGCGUGAGUGAUGAAGGGUUUCGGCUCGUAAAACUCUGUUAUUAGGGAAGAACAAAUGUGUAAGUAACUGUGCACGUCUUGACGGUACCUAAUCAGAAAGCCACGGCUAACUACGUGCCAGCAGCCGCGGUAAUACGUAGGUGGCAAGCGUUAUCCGGAAUUAUUGGGCGUAAAGCGCGCGUAGGCGGUUUCUUAAGUCUGAUGUGAAAGCCCACGGCUCAACCGUGGAGGGUCAUUGGAAACUGGGAAACUUGAGUGCAGAAGAGGAAAGUGGAAUUCCAUGUGUAGCGGUGAAAUGCGCAGAGAUAUGGAGGAACACCAGUGGCGAAGGCGACUUUCUGGUCUGUAACUGACGCUGAUGUGCGAAAGCGUGGGGAUCAAACAGGAUUAGAUACCCUGGUAGUCCACGCCGUAAACGAUGAGUGCUAAGUGUUAGGGGGUUUCCGCCCCUUAGUGCUGCAGCUAACGCAUUAAGCACUCCGCCUGGGGAGUACGACCGCAAGGUUGAAACUCAAAGGAAUUGACGGGGACCCGCACAAGCGGUGGAGCAUGUGGUUUAAUUCGAAGCAACGCGAAGAACCUUACCAAAUCUUGACAUCCUUUGAAAACUCUAGAGAUAGAGCCUUCCCCUUCGGGGGACAAAGUGACAGGUGGUGCAUGGUUGUCGUCAGCUCGUGUCGUGAGAUGUUGGGUUAAGUCCCGCAACGAGCGCAACCCUUAAGCUUAGUUGCCAUCAUUAAGUUGGGCACUCUAGGUUGACUGCCGGUGACAAACCGGAGGAAGGUGGGGAUGACGUCAAAUCAUCAUGCCCCUUAUGAUUUGGGCUACACACGUGCUACAAUGGACAAUACAAAGGGCAGCUAAACCGCGAGGUCAUGCAAAUCCCAUAAAGUUGUUCUCAGUUCGGAUUGUAGUCUGCAACUCGACUACAUGAAGCUGGAAUCGCUAGUAAUCGUAGAUCAGCAUGCUACGGUGAAUACGUUCCCGGGUCUUGUACACACCGCCCGUCACACCACGAGAGUUUGUAACACCCGAAGCCGGUGGAGUAACCAUUUAUGGAGCUAGCCGUCGAAGGUGGA
rnacentral:rRNA from 2 species